UAUUUGAUAGUACCUUACUACUUGGAUAACCGUGGUAAUUCUAGAGCUAAUACAUGCUAAACACCCCGACUUCGGAAGGGGUGUAUUUAUUAGAUAAAAAACCAAUGCCCUUCGGGGCUCCUUGGUGAUUCAUAAUAACUUAACGAAUCGCAUAGCCUUGUGCUGGCGAUGGUUCAUUCAAAUUUCUGCCCUAUCAACUUUCGAUUGUAUGGUAUUGGCUUACAAUGGUUUCAACGGGUAACGGGGAAUUAGGGUUCUAUUCCGGAGAGGGAGCCUGAGAAACGGCUACCACAUCCAAGGAAGGCAGCAGGCGCGCAAAUUACCCAAUCCCGACACGGGGAGGUAGUGACAAUAAAUACUGAUACAGGGCUCUUUUGGGUCUUGUAAUUGGAAUGAGUACAAUUUAAAUCCCUUAACGAGGAACAAUUGGAGGGCAAGUCUGGUGCCAGCAGCCGCGGUAAUUCCAGCUCCAAUAGCGUAUAUUAAAGUUGUUGCAGUUAAAAAGCUCGUAGUUGAACCUUGGGUUUGGUUGGUCGGUCCGCCUCACCGCGUGCACUGAUCCGACCGAAUCUUUCCUUCUGGGGAACCGUAUGCCCUUCACUGGGUGUGCUGGGGAACCAGGACUUUUACUUUGAAAAAAUUAGAGUGUUCAAAGCAGGCCUAUGCUCGAAUACAUUAGCAUGGAAUAAUAGAAUAGGACGUGUGGUUCUAUUUUGUUGGUUUCUAGGACCGCCGUAAUGAUUAAUAGGGAUAGUCGGGGGCAUCAGUAUUCAAUUGUCAGAGGUGAAAUUCUUGGAUUUAUUGAAGACUAACUACUGCGAAAGCAUUUGCCAAGGAUGUUUUCAUUAAUCAGUGAACGAAAGUUAGGGGAUCGAAGACGAUCAGAUACCGUCGUAGUCUUAACCAUAAACUAUGCCGACUAGGGAUCGGGCGGUGUUAUCUUUUUGACCCGCUCGGCACCUUACGAGAAAUCAA
rnacentral:rRNA from 2 species